GCGUAAACAAAAAAUUUAGACUCAUUCAAAGAUGUAAGUUCCAUCGUCAAAUUAUAUUACCAAGUUAUUUUGAUAAUGAGUAUGGUGCCUUGAAUUAUAGAUUAAAAAAUGUAUCACCGAAUUUAUUUUUAAUAAUGAGUCGAUCUGACAUAUUAGAAUCAAGGAAUAAUAAUAUGCAUUGAUGUUUUAUGAAGGAAUUACAGCUGUAGAACCUAUGUAUACAAACUUCAAACUUUUAAAGAUGAGAACGAUAUAUUUUUUUCGUUUUCCAGAAAAGCCAUGCUUGAAGUAUUUAUCAAGAUGUUCGGUAGUGUCAAUUUAAUAAUCAUAUGUGCGACUUUGACUUUGACAUGCAGCAAGAAGUUGUUGACACCAACCUAUCUGCUUGAAAAGUGAUACUCGUUUGCAAUACUUAAAUAUAUAUAUAUAUAUAUCAGUGAUCGCAAGUCAGUUUUGAAUGCAGGAUUGGUAAACAAGGGUCGCAAGUUAAUAUAUUUAUAUAGCUGUCUGCUGUAACAGUUUAACAUACAACCUUGAAACUGUAAAACAUUGAAUAUUUUUCAUUGUUAAAGCCAAUUUAAAUGAGAACGAUUAUUGUGUUACGAGGUAAGCAUUUAAUUCCAAAAUCCCUAUGUAUUCUUGUAGUAUAAAGUAAUUUGAAUGACAAAUCAGUAGAUUCUUCCAUAAUUGCAAGUAGGAUGCCAGUCCCAAACCUUUAAUUCCUAGCUCAAAAGCACAAUUGUUCAGUUCACACUUUUGUUAACUUCCGGAAUUUGUUAUUGUAAAAUAAUUGUCUCCUCAUAAUUUUAAAAAAUUACAUCUCAUUGCUGACUGAGAACUCUCAUCAUACUGGUCAAUUUUAAAUUGUGCUGAAAGCCUUAUAAUCACAAAUAUUCAUGUUUAAUCGAAUUUUUUUGGUUUUCUUCACUAUGGUGCAUCAAUAAUAUUUUUAGUACAGUACAAUCACACCCACCUUUGAAUUCUAAACUUUGACCUUCAAAUGCAAAUAAAAAAUU